GACGAUUUGGCAGAGUGGUCUAAUGCGUCAGGUUGCUAUCUUGAUUUCUUCGGAAGCGGGAGUUCGAAUCUCUCAGUCGUCU
rnacentral:tRNA from 1 species